UCAUAGUUGCAUUUUUAUAUGGCCAAGCA
rnacentral:piRNA from 1 species